rnacentral:rRNA from 1 species
GACGAACGCUGGCGGCGUGCCUAAUACAUGCAAGUAGAACGCUGAAGAGAGGAGCUUGCUCUUCUUGGAUGAGUUGCGAACGGGUGAGUAACGCGUAGGUAACCUGCCUUGUAGCGGGGGAUAACUAUUGGAAACGAUAGCUAAUACCGCAUAACAAUGGAUGACACAUGUCAUUUAUUUGAAAGGGGCAAUUGCUCCACUACAAGAUGGACCUGCGUUGUAUUAGCUAGUAGGUGAGGUAAUGGCUCACCUAGGCGACGAUACAUAGCCGACCGGAGAGGGUGAUCGGCCACACUGGGACUGAGACACGGCCCAGACUCCUACGGGAGGCAGCAGUAGGGAAUCUUCGGCAAUGGGGGCAACCCUGACCGAGCAACGCCGCGUGAGUGAAGAAGGUUUUCGGAUCGUAAAGCUCUGUUGUAAGUCAAGAACGGGUGUGAGAGUGGAAAGUUCACACUGUGACGGUAGCUUACCAGAAAGGGACGGCUAACUACGUG